AAAUCCCAAAUUUAAUUCAGCAGAAAUUCUGUAUCCUGACAACAAUAGUUGUGCACUGAUGGAGAGACUUGCACAGGAUUGACUAUAUGCAAUGCUGCAUCAAACCGGACUUCAGACUGAUAACUGCAACACCAACAACAUGCACCAUUAAAAAGAACAAAAUUUGCCUCUUUUUGACAGUGAAAAUACUAGGUAGCUAAAAUGCUCAAAACAGAAACCUGUGAUAUUUGAGUCCCAAGUCCUUCAAAUCCUGAGUGCAUAAUCAUAUGCAGUGUGCAUAAUACUGAUACAAAUUGAUUUUUGUGCUUCAGAUGUGAUAAAAACCAUCAAAUUACUGCGUGUUCAACAGCAACCCAAGUCCAUAAAAAUAUCGUAGUACAAACAGUUACAUACCUUUAGUGAGUCAAAGCUAUUGCCAUUGGUAAAAAUUGCUGCCAACAUGAAUACCAUUCUUGUUCAAACUGAAAUUGUUUAUCAUUGACAACAUUUUGUUGUUACAGGUGUUUAUAAAUUCUAUUGUAUAUCACCUACUCAAUCAGCAAGUAUAAGUAUACUUGAGAAAGAGGAAAGAUUUAGUACGUAAUGUAUUACAAAACUCAUGUGAGUUUGAUUAUUUGAUUAUUAGUUUCAUCCUAAUUACCAUUUUGAAAAUAGGUGAUAAUAAUAUAUUUUUAAUAAAUGUAAGUUGUAGAUGAAUUUCAUAGAACUUGAUUUGAAAAAUUCUUCUUAGUGGGCCACCCAGCAAGAAAUAUUUAAAAAUUAAAUUAUCUCUAUCUCAUGACACAAACAAUUAUUAAAAGUAUUUUAAUUUUGAACAACACAUCUUAUCAUCUUGUAGUGUCUGCUAUGAAGUUGGCAUCAACUGGUGAUGUUAUUGCGUUCAGUGGUGAAGUAUCGUGUGUAUGUGGUCUGCAUUAACAAGACAGACAUAGCUGUCAAACGGCUUCCACACCAACCAUGAGAGGCACUGUGUUUCAUAUUUUUAUGUAUAAAUGUUUUAUAUUCUUCUGUAUUGUUUAUUAUUUGACAUGUGAAUUUUUAUAUGAAUUUGUUUUUCCAUCUAUUUACAUUUUUCCAGUCUCUCAGGAAUACAGUGUCUAUGACCGUUCCUCUUCCUGAGUUAUACACAUGUUCAGAAAGUUUCAUUUGUGAGUUAAAUGCUCUGAUUCAUAUUCAGCUUAGAUAGUAAAUGCUUAUUCAGUCUGUUCAGCAAACAAUGUAACCAAAAUAAAAAAACUUGUUCUGUGAAACCUCGUGACUUAGUUUGUUCACACCAAGCAAAGGUCAGUUAAUUCAAAUCGUGCUAAUUUUGACAAGUGGUGACCUCUUUGUGAUUUGGGCUUAAGAAAAAGGUUGAGCAACUAUUACAAAAUUUAAAUAUUAUGCAAGAUAUAGAUGCACCAACAGUGUCUAGACUAGUGGUCCAUUUACCUCUGUUCUGGCCAAACAGCCCAAUCUUGUAGUCUGCUCAAGUCAAACCAGUUUAGCUAUGCAGGAAUUAUGGCUGACUCAACAAAAUUUGACCUCAUUACAAGCCAACUUGACUAUUGCUACAUUGCAGGGGUACAGGAUGUGAUCACUGUGCCAUUGCAUGAAAAAUUCUGAAUUAAUCAACAUAGCAGCUGCAUUGCACAAAGAAUGGGUCAGAGAGGUACCAAUAAAAGGAGACAUUGAUGAUAAACUGUCACAAUAUUUGCAUCAUUCGUGGGGUAAAGUCAAUACAGUUAUGAUCCCUGACAAUUUGCUACACACCCUGUGAUGUAGUCAAUUACCUCCACAAGCCAAAGCGAUUUUAAUGUCUCAGAUGGAAACAUCAUCGGAUGUGGUGGCAGAGCUAGCAGAUCAGAUUCAAGAGGUUGUCACACCCACUCAGGUUAGUGCAGUGACAUUGCCACGCAGAAGUGCCACUGUGGCACCAACAGUGGUGCGCAUGGAAUCCGACUCACUGACAGCCUGGUGCCUGUUUGUUAGUGAUAGCAGAAGUAUUUAGUAGACACUGGCUCAGACUUAAGUGUCCUACCAAGAACUUCAGUCCACCACUGUAGAACACUGACUGCAUUCUGUUUAUCUGCUGCAAACAACUCAUCCAUAUCUACAUACAGAACAACAACAUAGCAGAUAGAGUUAAAUUUGGUACAGCACAAUCCAUUGGCAUGGGACUUUACCAUUGCCAACAUUAUGAAGCUGAUAAUAGGACCCGAUCUUCUGGAAAAUCUCCAUUUCGUACCAGAUGUUGACAAUGUUACUGGACUGACUACAGUGGGUUUUCACCAUGACACAUCAAUGCAUAGUGCCUAGCUAAUACAGGUGUUUGAUGAGAAGUCCGUGGUACACUGCACUGUUGGGGCAGUAUCCUACCUUUACCAGGCCAUCAGGCACACAUACACACAUAGAACACAACAUGGUGCACCAUAUAGAAACCACAAAUGGCUCACUAGUGUCUUGCAGACCCAAGAGAUUGGUACCCGAUUUUUUGGCCAUCGCUAAAGCAGAAUUCGAUGCGAUGCUUAAGAAAGGCAUAAUCUGUCCAUCAAGUAGAAAUAUUUAAGCUACACAUUGAUCUGAAGAAAGUAGGAGCCUAUUGCCUGUGCAGUGACUGUCGUGCACUCGACGCGAGAACUGUGCCAGUUUGAUAUCCCGUGCCUUUGUUGUGUGACUGUAAUUAUGCAUUGCGUGACACAACUGUUUUCAGUGUUUUGGACUGUGCCAAGGCAUAUACACAUAUACCUGUGGCAGAAGACGGCAUCCCCAAGACAGCAACAAUCAUUCCAUUCGGACUCUUUGAGAGCAAAUUUGUGACGUUUGGGCGACAGAACACUGCGCAAACCUGGCAGAAGUUUAUUGACUCCAAUCUAUGAAGACUGCCACUUUGCUUCAGAUACAUGGUGAUGUGCUUCUGUUUUCUGCCACCAGGGAGCAACAUCACCAUCAUCUACAAGAAAUAUUUAAGCGUUUUGAGCAAUUUAGCAUGGUACUAAUGUGGCCAAGUGUGUGUUUGGACAGCAUGAUAUGAUGUUUCUAGGUCACUGCAUUUCAUUUACAGGCUCCUUACCACUAAUUGAGAAGAUCAAAGUAAUUUUACAGGUACCACAACUGAUGAUGGUCAAGGAGUUGCGUGAGUUUUUAGGUUCGAGUUGGCAUUCCAGUGCAGUGGACUGAAACAAUGUGCUCCACUUUCAAGAUGGCAAGAAAUAGCAUAGUAAAUGCAAAACUGCUGCAAACCCUAACUGGAUGAAUCUUUGGUAUUAAUGGUAGAUGCGAGUCAAAUUCCUUUUGUGUGGUCCAGUGGUCAGAAGAUUCAUGGCAACUGCUUGCAUAUUUCUCCUGCAAAUUGUCGCCAUCUCAGAAUAAGUGGAGUGUGAACUCCUGGCAGUGUAUGUGGCUGUUACAUAAUUCCAUCCACAAAUAGAAGCAAGGACAUUCACAAUACUGUUACAGAAGAAGCUGAGUAACACAGUCACUGUGGCACAGUGGUUAUGAUACUAGACUGUUGCAUGGAGGGUCGUGAGUUCAAAACUCACCUGAACUGUAAAACUUUAAUUUCUAUAUUUGGUUCAAGUACAUUCUAGAAGUAUCCACAAAUGUCAAGAAUCAUUGUACCGGAAUGUUCUGUAGCUGUAUAUAUACACUGUAUGUGUUCUGGCUGGAGGCAGUUCGCUCUGUGCUCUUGUAUGUGCAAGUGCUGAAUAAACCUUUGUUAAGUGAA